rnacentral:rRNA from 1 species
UAGCUAGUUGGUGAGGUAAAGGCUUACCAAGGCGACGAUCUGUAGCGGGUCUGAGAGGAUGAUCCGCCACACUGGAACUGAGACACGGUCCAGACUCCUACGGGAGGCAGCAGUGGGGAAUUUUGGACAAUGGGGGCAACCCUGAUCCAGCCAUGCCGCGUGAGUGAAGAAGGCCUUCGGGUUGUAAAGCUCUUUCGGCCGUGAAGAAAUCGCAUGGGCCAAUACCCUGUGUGGAUGACGGUACCGGAAUAAGAAGCACCGGCUAACUACGUGCCAGCAGCCGCGGUAAUACGUAGGGUGCGAGCGUUAAUCGGAAUUACUGGGCGUAAAGUGUGCGCAGGCGGUUUUGUAAGACAGGCGUGAAAUCCCCGGGCUUAACCUGGGAACUGCGUUUGUGACUGCAAGGCUAGAGUACGGCAGAGGGGGGUGGAAUUCCACGUGUAGCAGUGAAAUGCGUAGAGAUGUGGAGGAACACCAAUGGCGAAGGCAGCCCCCUGGGUCGAUACUGACGCUCAUGCACGAAAGCGUGGGUAGCAAACAGGAUUAGAUACCCUGGUAGUCCACGCCCUAAACUAUGUCAACUAGGUGUUGGGUGGGUAAAACCAUUUAGUACCGUAGCUAACGCGUGAAGUUGACCGCCUGGGGAGUACGGCCGCAAGGUUAAAACUCAAAGGAAUUGACGGGGACCCGCACAAGCGGUGGAUGAUGUGGAUUAAUUCGAUGCAACGCGAAAAACCUUACCUACCCUUGACAUGCCAGGAACUUGCCAGAGAUGGCUUGGUGCCCGAAAGGGAGCCUGGACACAGGUGCUGCAUGGCUGUCGUCAGCUCGUGUCGUGAGGUGUUGGGUUAAGUCCCGCAACGAGCGCAACCCUUGUCGUUAAUUGCCAUCAUUUAGUUGGGCACUUUAACGAGACUGCCGGUGACAAACCGGAGGAAGGUGGGGAUGACGUCAAGUCCUCAUGGCCCUUAUGGGUAGGGCUUCACACGUCAUACAAUGGUCGGUACAAAGGGUUGCCAAGCCGCGAGGCGGAGCCAAUCCCAGAAAGCCGAUCGUAGUCCGGAUUGCAGGCUGCAACUCGCCUGCAUGAAGUCGGAAUCGCUAGUAAUCGUGGAUCAGCAUGUCACGGCGAAUACGUUCCCGGGUCUUGUACACACCGCCCGUCACACCAUGGGAGCGGGUUCCGCCAGAAGUAGGUAGCCUAACCGCAAGGAGGGCGCUUACCACGGCGGGGUUCGUGACUGGGGUGAAGUCGAAACAAGGUAGCCGUAGGGGAACCUGCGGCUG